UGUAUGUGUAUGCCUGUGUGUGUGUAUGUGCAUGUGUGCACGUGCAUGCAUGUGCAUGUGUGUUAUUUGUGUAUGAGGGAGUAUAUGUAGAUUCAGGUGAACAAUUUUGAGUGUCAUUCCUUACUGAAUGGCCCACUGUGUUUUUUUUGUUUCUGUUUUAUUUUGUUUCCCUGUUUGUUUUUGAGACAGGAUCUCUCACUGGACUAGAAUCAAGUUGGCUAGGCUUGCUGGCCGGUGAGCCCGCAAGGGUCCACUUGUUUCUGCCUGCUAAGCAUUGUGAUAGCAAGCAUCUAUUACCUCAGUCAGCCUUGAACAGUCUUUUAACUCCAUAAAACAAGUGUUCUCUCCGUGUGUAAGUUAACUACCUGAUGCAGGAGGGAAAGCGAAAUGGCCUCAUGUGUCAAGGAUGCUGCUGCAUUCAGCAUCCUCGUGGCCUCCACUAUGAUAGUGGUCAUAGUCACUAUCAGGGUAAUUCCGAACCCUUUCUUACCUGCCCUGGAGCUUCCUGGGUAAAGCCCUGUGUGAAUCUUCUGCAGUUGGUUUACUGGGAGGCUUCUGCCCCUCACUGUCGAUAGACAAGAGUAAACAAAACUGAAGAGAGCUGUGGCCAUCCUUGAACGUUGUGAUGAUCAGGCCAUGGGGUGUUCCCAACAUGUGCCUGCUAUAGAAACCUGUGCUUGCUUAGGGGUGAUUGCUGGAGGCAGCAGCCAAUAUGCAACCCAGGGAAGCUUGAGGAAGUCAGGCCUCUGAGGAAUGCCACUAGAGGGUCACUGCCCUGGCCCAGGCUCUUUCUCGGGACAGCAAUAGCCUGAGAUCAUCUGGGAGUUGUAAAGACAGGCUGCCAUGUGUGGGUAUUCAAGUCUGUGUGAUGGUAGUUCAGUCAACUUUCCCAGGCAAUGCCCCAGUGUGUUUCUGUCUUCUCUACGUGGAGGGGACCUUGGAGUGCAUUAGAUAAGGACAUGGUAACACAGGAAGAGGGGGUGAGCCUCAGCCUAUGGCAGCAGAGCUGAUGCUGACACACUGUCUAAGCUUGAGUGCCUGGUCUUCUCCCAUAUGGUCUGCUGAGGGCCUGGUGCAAUGACUCCUGAGGGCGCUCGGUGCUCUGUGGGUCUUAGCCAGGACCAAUGAUGCCACUUGUCACUUUUCUACCCUCUACAAAGCCAUAAGCUCGUGUGUAUGCUGGGAGAAACAGCUGCUGUGUUAAAUCAUGUUUUCUGACUUCUGGAGAGGGCCGGUGAAUGGAGAGAAAGCACCCUUCACAGCAGAAGAUAUAAGCCCCUCUUCUCUCUGCUCUGCAAGUCCUACACUGUCUUUGUGGCACAAGGAAAUGAACACCUCCUCCUGGGAGUCCACUCUGAUCCUCAGGUAAUACACAAAUGUGUCCCCAUUCCCCGAAAAGGACCAGCUCUCACUGCAAGGAAAUGGAUAUCUGCGAACAUUACUCUGUCUGUCAAACAUUUACCUUUGCCCAUAAGGACAAAGGGAUGAACCAUUUUGUUGUCUCUCUGGGCUGAGCACAGCGCCUGGGACAAAUCUCAGUAAACACCUAAACAAUGUCAGGUUUUGUGUUUCUUCCCCUGCUAAGUCAGCUGUGCUUCUAAGAAAGUCCUAAGCAUGAUCCUAGACUUACCUGAGCCUCAUUCCCAGACUGUCUUGUUGCAUAAAGGAGAUGGAAUGUUCCAGAAGCCAAACCACUCAUGAGUGCAAAUUAAAGUCCAGGAAAGGUUAGUAACUCAUCCUCACCCAGCAGCAAACCAGGCCUCAGCCUGGCUUUGUUGGUGUUAAGCUGUCUCUUCAAUCCAUUUCCGCAUACAGUUCCAACAGAUUCAGAUAUUACUGGCUCUGUCGUCACAACUCUUGUCUUGGGGGGUGGGGGGCGUCUUGGCAGAGCUACCCUGGGCCUAGAACCUCAGACCAGCACAUUUUAUUUAUUUUAUUUUUACAGAGAGGAGACUGUUUGUGUAAACUGUCUGAACCACUCAGAAUCACGUGAGUACCAUCUCACUGGCUCAGUGCCCUGCAGUCCUGUCAUAAGAACAUUUUUGUGGCUGGUGGGGACACUCCCUCCACUGGACUGUCUCGCUAACACUGCCCACCCCACUCUGAGGUACCAGGUAAUGCUAGAAGAUUGGAGCUCACUGCCCAUACUGGUCCACCCCUAGAAUCCUCGGAGUAGGGCUAGGGUGGGCAAUCUCUGAACAAGAGGAACAAAUAAAAAUGGGACUGCACAGAGAUUCAAGUAUGACAUUAGGUAUGGACCACCAAGUUGGCCAGGCCUGGACAGAAGGAAGUAUCCUCACGGAGCUGAGCUGUGGGUCCCUCUUUUGUCUAGACCUGGAGGCAGUGUUUUGCAGAGCCCUGGCAGCCUGCCUCUGCACUGGCACCACAGGGGACACUCAUACAGGGCUUCUCCAGGUCCUACUUUGAGAAAUGCGUCUCCUUUGGCCACUCUGGGUGGGAAGACCUUCCUGAGAUGGGGUUCACAUGGGACUGUCCAGUUCAGUGGCUGUCACUGCUCUAGGUCUACAAACAGGAGGAGGGUGGCAGGAGACAAUGACAGUGUGGCCGCCCAUGAGUCUUUGAUCUGACAGCUCCUGGAGCCCCCUCAGCAGCCUUUUGCUUACUAGGCCACUAUCAGCUCCCUGAUGUGGAGGGACCCUGGUAAUGAGGUUCUAUUAACGGAGCUGGAUCCCGGUUCUCAGAACUCAAUGUUCAGAGUAAACAAUGAGGCAGAAUCCUAUUUAAAAAAAAAAAAAGACUUCCAACAUGGACAAAUUAAGCCCGUGGGAAUGUCGUACAAAGAAUACAUUUUUCCAGUGUCGAAUCAAGAUCAAUAGAGAAAAACAAAUAAUUUCAAGUGAGAGUUGUCAUAAUGACACUCAGGUUCGGGCAGGGGUUGCACACAGUAUUUUGGCCUGAGGACAUCCCAGCAUAUAUAAUGAGGAUGCAGGGGUGGGGCUGGUCCUGGGCAGCAGGGGUGCGUCGACUCCCAGGUGGCUCAGCCUGGCUGACACUCGGUCUCAUUUGUCUCUGUCAAGGCUCCUCUCUCACUGUGGAGCUGUUAGCCUGUUCAUGUGCUACCGAGCUUGCUGAGGUUGACCCAGGUCUGGAGCAGCUAAAGAAGCCAGAGCUUUGUUCAGAGGGGAUAGAUCUGCACACCCCCUGCAGAAUGCUGUCUGUAACUCUCCCCCAAGGUGGGGGAGAUCCCUAGUCAUCUGCUCAGACGUCUCCUUCUCUUCAAUUCCCCCCAUUUGCCACUCACUUUGGACUGUCAUGCCCACAGGACCCAGUGUGCUCUCUGCUAUCAGUAAAAGUCUUACCUGUUGCCCCAUGCUGGUCUGGAGGGAGUUGUUCUUUUAGAAACCUCUGCUUAAUUCUUUCCUUCUCUUCCUGAUCCCUGGUGACCUGAAAAUCACCCUUGUCUGUUUUCCCAGAGUGCCAGGCAGGGUUCUCAGCUGGCAUAUACCCUCUCCUGCUCUCCGAGGGGAUGUCUCAGUGAAUUGGGUCAUCCUGUUGAGUCACUGGACAGAGAGCUUCCCAAUCCUGCCUGGGGUUCCUUGAUUCAUCUGAGCCCCCACUGUGGUCUCCAAGCCAUAUCCCCGGGAGCAGGUCAUUUCCAUGGGAGUCUGGGAGACUAGGAUGGACAAGACUCAGGUCUCAGGAGGCAGGGGCUCUAAUACCUAUCUGCUCUCCACAAGGAGACUAGGAGACGAAGGAGAGUUGACUCUGGUACACAGUCGCCAUGAUUCCUGAUUUCAACCUGCUGAGCUAAUGUGCAUUGGUGAUGUCUCUGAGGUUUCCCUCCAUGCAGAAUUUGUGCUACACGCACUAGAGGAGUGUGUGUGUGUGUGUGUGUGUGUCCGUGUGUGUGCAUGUGCAUUUUAGGCUGAGCCAAAGCACACACUAGGUGCAACAUCUUUCCCUACUUUCCAGCUGACAAACAAGUGACUGGGCAGGGCCGGAGGUCAGGUGGACUCAGGGCUUCUGCCUCCCAGGAAGAUCUCGGCCCUAUUGGGGGUGGAGAGAUAUAGAGUGGGUCAUGGUAAGGCAAACCUAGAGAGGAACUGGAGGUCUCAUGGAGGGUCUUGGCCCAGCCAUGUGGGAAAGCGGAAGGAUGAGAGUUCCCAAGCUGCCUACAACUUUGGUUGGCUUGAGGCAUAGACCGCUAGGAUGGCUUAAAAUGCUUUGCCUCCUCUAAAAAUUCACAGCUAAGUUGAAUUCCCACUGUAAAGUGUUAUGGGGUUGGGGACGAGGUUCCAAUACAUGGGUAGAGUGAAGCCUUGGGGGACAAUGGGAGUCUGACAAGAUCAGAAAGGUGGGGCCCCUGAUUGAAUGCUGAUGGUCUCGAAAGAGCAAAGAGAGACUAGAAGACACAUUUUCAGUCUCUUUUCUCUCUUCUCGUGCGCCUUACCAUGUGACAUCCUACACUUCUUUGGGAGUUUGCCAGAGAGAAGGCCAACAUCAGACUUGAGCUUUGACCUUGGACAAGAACUCUGUAAGCCCAAAGAAAGAUCUCUUAUUUCUAACUUUACCUAUCUCUCUGGUCUUGUUUCAGACUUUCAUCAUCUCUGGCCUUGUGUCACUAUCAUUUGAAGGUGGUUCAGGCUUGUUGAAUUCUCUGCCUUAAAGUCUUGCAGGCAAGUGUUGAAGUCGUGUUCUUUCCACUGUGGACAGAACCGAAGAUCCCAGCAUCCUUUGUGGGACUCUGUAACACAAGGUUUGUACAUCCUUUGAGGAAGGGUGCAGACAUAUACAUAUACUUGGGUCAGUUACAUGUCACCUGGGGAAAUGAGUAGCAGCCAGUGUCAUAUAACACUGUAAGUACUUCUGUGUAGAUAGCAGGGCACUAGGGCAGCUGCUGCAGCAGCGACCGGUUGGAAGAAGAUCCAUGUCGUCCCCAGUGUGGGAAGCAAGGUGACAUCCUGCAUGGCCACACAGAUUGGUGUCCUGACGACUACUGGGCUACGAUCCCAGCUGUGGCCUGGCUGCCUUGCUGCUUCCCAUCUGCUGAUCUCCCCACCAGAUCUGUGAUCUUUCUCACCUGCUGUGAAAUAAAUCCCCACCUGCUUCAAACUGACCAAGCCCGAACCUAGAAGCUUGGCUGACACUCUGAAUGACUCUCAGCAGAUUUGUGUUCCCAGAAGAGAGGUUGAGGCACGUUCCUGCUCCCCACGGGAUCCAGGAGACUGGAGUUGGCCCUUUGGCUUUCGUUAUGGGAGGUAGAAGACUAGAAUUCCCCUCCACCAAGACCACACACAGUGGGGAAGAGGCAAAUUCCAGAAGGAACACAGGCUACUGUUAAAUGAGGAGUGUGGGAGCGCAGUUAGCAAAACAGGACACAUGUGCACUAACCAAUCUCUCUUCAUUCAUCCAAGUAAAUAGAGUGUGCACUCUAUGCUGAGGAAAGGGGUCUCUCCCUUCUUUCAUGUACACCACACUCACACUGCAAGCCGGAUGCAUGCAGAUACUGCAAAACCUUUGGGAUACAGCACUGGCUGCCCUCCAGACACCCAGCUAAGUAAAGGGACCAAGGACUGUUCCAGAGAAAAGGUGAGUUGGGCCUUGGAGGAGGACUGCAGGGCGGGGCAAAGAGAAAAGUGGGCAGAGCCACAAAAGCUUAGAAUGGCCUCAGCAUCAUACAGGGCCACAUACACAGGCUCAGACUAGAAGUAGGGGUACAGUGGGAUUGUGUCUGUGGAAAGAUGAAAGUUUGGGGAGAGCCUGAGGGUCGGGCUGGGGUUUGGAAGUACGAUAUUGAGUGUCACAUAAAACGGGUCAGCAGACGUGUUCUUUCGGGAGACACUUGUUGGUAGGCCAGUCUCUGAGAAAGUCCUAUGGAUGGUGAACAGCAUGGCAGCGGCUGGAGUGAAGGUACAAAGGAAGAGGGAGGAAGCUGGGGCUGCAGACUGGGUGUCUUGCCGAUGGCCUCGUGGAACCCCAACUAAGGAUCUGCUGGAAGAAGCACUUAGGGCCAAUACUGAGGUCUUUGGUGUUGAGGAGCUGGGUCCCCCAGCAGUCAAGCCCUGCUGCCACUCCCAGCUCUGCCUGGCUUGCUAGCUGGCUGGUUUGUCUUUUGUUUUUUUUGCUUUCAGCUGUGGUGACUUCCAACGGUGCUCUAGAAUCUCCUGGACUUCCCCAGAAGAAUCUGCCUUACAUGUAAACGUUCUGCUUCAGAUGUUUGCCAUGCAAGAGAUCCUGCCAUUAAAGUCCAUGCCAAAAACAAACAAACAAACAAACACACACACACCACAAAAACCAAACCUCAAUGAGUGCGCUUUCUGAGUUCCCAUGGGGCUCUUACUACCCUGGGUGACUAAAUGGCCUGGUUUGCCACACACGAGUUCUAUUUUAUCAGUUCCAUGUUAAGAUGACCACACCCAGAUAAGCUAGAAGGUCGGUACCCUCAAUUUUUAACAUUUUGCUCUUAAGACAGGCUACCGUCUGGAGAGGUCAUGGGGGUGGGCUGAACAUUGGGCAGGGCUGGUGGUCUCUGUUGUGGUCGGCUUGGGCCUCCUGAAGGAGAUAGGCCAGAGACCCACUAAGGCAACUGAGAAAGGGUCAUGAGGAGUCAGAGUCUGUGGAGCAUAAGAGAUUAGUUCAUGUUGUCUGGAUUGCUGGGACUGCCUCCCUGGGACUAGAACCACUGGUCUGUGUCAGGGUCAUUCUGGAUUAUAGUCUGGAGAAUCCUAACACUGUCUGCCUAACCCCACAGCAGCUCAUCCUUACUGACAGGCACAAGGCCAGAGGUGUUCAAGGAUAAGACAGGGGCUCCACAGAGCUUGUGGGGUCCAGGCUUCUUCACCCUGUGCCCCUUCAUCCCUCCUCUCAUGUGGAACUCUGGCUCUAGGUGCAGCUUCCCUCCUGGAGGUCAAGAAUGACACAAGAAAGGAGCAGCGUCAAGGAGGAGGAGGUGUAAGGCAACGUGUACAGCCAUUCUCAUAGACGCUAGCUGCUUCCACUGGUCAGGGAUGCUACAGUGCUUUCUCUUGAAAAGAGGCUGGGAAAUGGUGUGUUUCAGCUGGCUGGAACCAAAUCGAGAGAGAGAGAGAGAGAGAGAGAGAGAGAGAGAGAGAGAGAGGUGAAGAAGGGCUCUUGUUUGGAUAAUUAGAGGAGUCCUCAGGAGGUUCUUAGAGGCUUCUAAAUACACUGGCCAUCCAAUCUCCCUAUCACUCAAGCUUAUGUCUCAUAGUCCCCUGGGUCCCAAGCGCCAUAGACGCCAGACUUGGCAUGAUCCACACUGCUGGGGUGCCACCAAUAGGAUGCCGGAAACCCCAUUUUUCUUUUCUCUUCCCAACAAAGCCAGAUGGCAGGCAGUGUGACUCCAUCUCCGCCAAAGUCCAGGGGAUGUUGUCCCCUCCCUGCCUGGAAGGCUGUACCCCUCCUCCUGAUGCACUUCCUGUGGCCCACAGCCCAGCCUCUCUGCAAGUGAGAUCCUCCCUUCCCCCUCCUGCGCGAGCCUAGAGCGAGUCAGCCCAUCUGGUUCUAUUUCACUUCGUGUUACUCAUCAGGAUGUGUUUGCCAGGAGUUAUUUGAUGUUCAGGAAGAAUUCUGAAGCUUUUGAAAAGAGGUAAAUAAAAUCCUUUAUCCCCCAAAGAGUCAUGAAAUUGUGUUUUGCUCAGGAGGUGGCAGGCAGCCAUGUGAGGUCUGGAGGCCCCUGCCUAGCCAGGCACAGGGGCUGGAGUUUCACGAUCUGUUCUUCUGUCAGUCAGUCCGAAUCUCCACUCCUCCAAGUCCUUCCUGAUGCUCUCUUGGGAUGCCCGAAUUUGGGAACAGAUGAGGGCUGCCUGUGGGGACAGCCCAGCCUGUCUCCUGCUCUUCAGCCAAGAAAGCUUUUAGGGAGCACUCCUUCUGGUCCUCAGCCCUGUCAUUCCACAGCCAUGCAUACGAGCUCCAGGGGGAGGAACCAGAGUUCUCUGCCACAGAACAACCUGGGUUGGGGGAGCUCACCCCAUCUGCUAGGGUCUGGAGAUCACAAAGCAAGGAAGCUGACACCUCCUCCAAGCUCCUGUGAAUUGCAACAGACAUCAUGGAUGUUAAGAUACCCAGAAGGAGAGGCUUUGCCUGCAGGACUGUCUUACAGAGAAGGUUCCACCCUUCUAGCAUCAACCUCUACCUCGAGUCCACACAGCCUUCCUAUUAUUGCCCAGAGAUGGUUCAGUGCAAUGUCAAAGUUUUCCUGGCAAGAACUAGAUCCUCAGGUCUCGUUAAUGCAAAGUGGACCCCACUCUACCUUGUGGGUGCCCAUAACCAACCUGUUGAGAAGAGACCAACAUUUGUGUGACUGGUUGCUCCUUGGGCAGAGUCUGAGUGUUUACUCCCCCAACCCCCCCAAACAUCCCUAUUCUAUGCAAUGCCUCCCACAUAAGCAUCCAGGCAGAGGAGUGUGGGCUUACCUCUGUACCCCUUGAUCUGUCCAUUCUAUUACAGGGAUGCCAGAGGGCUCCUCCACAGCCUAGAGUGGUGUCAUCUCAAAUCCUGCAGUAUGCAAGGCUUCCCACCCACUGCAUCCCCCGUGACAGCUUACAACCCUGACUAUCAAACAUUGAUCACUUAAAUUUAACAUCCCGUCUUCCCUUUGAUAUCUUCAACUGCUCUCUGCAUAAGACAACAAGCCGCUUUCUGCAGCUCCGUAUGAGGGAGAGUUCAAAGACUUCCUUCCCCAGUCCCUCAGCACUGCACUCUGGGAUUCUGCCAGAGAGACUGUCAGGAGGAAGGUUUAAGGCAUCCUCUACUGAUAGCGUCUUUAGGACUCAGACCUGUGGGGAAACCUCCAUGCUUUAAGUCCUGGAUUCUGGGGUGAUCUGCGCAUAACUGGGCAGUCAAUGGCAUGUUAAUGUUUUUCUAGAAGCAUCUGUGGGUCAUCAUGGGGAAAGAUGUAAAUUCAGAGGCAGAGGCAUCAGGCUUAUAUCCUUGAGGAGCCGGGCCUGCAUCCCUGAUCUGCCCUUGACCAACUCUGGGUCCUCAGGAAAGUUCUGGAUCUUUUAAAUGGAUACGAUCAUUCUUAGCUCUCAGCAAAGUGCUUGAAUGGGCAGUGUGGCUACCCGGCUCACCAUUCCUGGACAGGAAGCGUCAGUGGCCGAGUAUGACAGGAAGCGCUGAACUCCUGAGAGCUGGGUACUUGAUAGUCACAGCUGGCAGCCUGAUCACCAGUCAUUCUGAUCCUCCCCCUCACACAAUCCGCAGUGGGCUUGUACUUUAUUACACCUGUGUUAAUUAGCGUAGCUACCAUCUAUGAAACACACCCCAUGGGUCAAGGCCAGAGCAAAGUGAUUGACCGAUGUCACUUCACAUCAGCCCUGCGAGUACCUCAAAGGUAGCCUUUCUCCUGGGACCUGUUUCUGCCUGAGUGUCUUCCUGGGUAACAGAAUCUACCUCAUGUUAAUGGCCACAUGGGGCUCGAAGCCAGGUCAGUGGGGCCGAAGUUCCGGCUUUUGCCUCAGUCUUCAAGCUGUAGUGACAUACUCUAAAAGGCACGUGGUGCUGUGUCUCAGUGCCUUGGGGUCUGCAGUGGAGGAUGUCCUGGUACGGAGAGAUGAACGUGGGACAGAGUGAAAAAGACCUUCUGUUCAGUUUCACACACUGUGUUUUGAGUAGCCACCUACAUAGUAUAACACCAGUUACAACGUCAUGGUCCCAGGUUCCUCAUGGCCCCAGACUUAAAGAAUAGAUCAUGAUGUUCCUGAUCUCUAGAGCCCUGUGGCCUAAGCCUCUGACUUGCUGGGGUUGCUAAGAAAUGGACUCCCCUUGUGGGGAGUCCCCCCCCCCAGGCAAUGCCACUUGUGACUGAAUGAUCUCUGAGUUUGGGGAGAGCGCUAGAAUCUCCACUCUAUUCUUGGCACAUCCUAAGUGUGCACCCCAGAAACUUGGCUCACAGUCUCCACUGCCACCCACUGGGGUCACACAGACUGCAUCUGCCCCUUUGUCAGAGGUUUUGGAAGAGUGUUUUUGCUUGGGGUUCCUUUCUUCAGGUCACAAAGGUCAAAGCUUCCUGUGACGUAAUGACGUAAAUCUCUGCAGCCUGUGACUUUGCAGGAAAGAGUGGGAAAUGGAGACUGGGAAGAAAGGAAGGUGAUGUCAUGUACCUGUGGGGGAGCUGCUGGGGUUAAACAAAGGCAUAGUCCCUGGCUGCUGGAGUGGGGCUGUCGGGGGAUGGAUGAAUGGCAAGGGAGAUAAUGAUCUCAGUCCUCUUCCAGACUCCCUUCCUCCUGGUUAGAACUCCUUCCCAUCCCCCUAUGGAGAACUCAUCAUGGCAAAGCCCUUGAAGGGUGGGCCCCACCUUGACCAGAAGCUCUCCCUGUGCUAUGGGGAGUUGUUUAUUCCCUAAAUUUUAGAGUUGAGCUCUCAGUAUGUAGCACAUUGAUGUCUAAACUGUUGCGUGCCCUUACUGAGGGAGACAGACACUUUUCUUUGAGAAGAGCUCUCAAUGUUCCAGCCUUGCUGGCUAGGUGAGGCAAAGUCAGAGGAGCAACCCUCUAGCGACACUGCUCUUUGUGGGAUAUCUGAAAUCCCGCAUAUAAAAACACCCCAACCCCAUCUGUCAUUUUUGUAGGUUUUCUUUGCUUUCUGUACAAUAAGAAAGGGCAACAGAUGAGGUAGACGGUGGACUGGGUUUGGGGUCUGAAUCGGGACUUACAUCAUCUUCUCUGUGAUUUGGGGCAAUUUAAUUACCAUCUCCAAAAGUCAAUCCUUUGCUUGGGAAACAAGGUCAAUGACGCAUGACUCACGGAGUGUCUGGAAAGACCAAAUGCAAAGGCAUUGGCAAACUGACAAACACUGGUAUACAGAGGGUGCUCAAUAAGUAUUAACAGAUGAGAUAACAGCUUCCUGAUGUGGAGGAGACAAGGUGUCUUGAUACCCCCUUAUGAAUAAUCGCAAUCAGCGCUUGGGGCUGGGAGCUGGGGGUAUGGAUUGGGUUUUCUUGAGGGGCAGCGGGUGAGCGAGAUGGAGAGGCUGACCCACUGGCGGUCGGUGCACAUUAGCGUUGCUUUGGAGAGUCUGCACAGAGCAUCAAGGAGUGUGGGUAACCUGCUCUCAACUCCUUGUGGAGUGUAGUCCUCAGAGAGCCAACAGCAGGUUCAGCUCUGAGCCUGACCCUGGGAGACAUAACAAACUAACCCAUUAUCCCCCAUUAUCUUUUCCGAGCAGCUUCAUUUGUCAAACCACGCUGCUGUUGGGAGAGGCGUGAUGGAGGACCCCAGCAUGCAUUUGUGCUGCGGUGCCUGAGCCCGGAUCUGCGCUGGAGUGAGAAAAAGGCUAGCGAUGCCUACAGACUGUGGCUCGCUCCAUAAUGGAGGCUUUGCACAUCUCUUUGAAUGCUAACUGCCUGGGAAUUAGAUAGCUGUUGUUGUUGUUGUUGUUGUUGCUGCUGCUGCUGCUGCUGCUGCUGCUGCUGCUGCUGUUUUUCCAGUCAGCCACAAAAGGAGUGACAAAGAAAAGGAAAGACCUGGCCUGAGGUCACAUCCUGUGAGAUGAGGACUGAAACCUGAAUGUGGCUCCAGAACUGUGUAACCUCCAUGUGGCGUUGUCCCCAUAGCAAAGCCCACUACUGCCAUUUUUUUACCCAACCCCCACCCCAGUCUUUAGGAGUUCUUCCUGUUUGCUCCCUGCAGUGUGUCACCUCCAUGGCCAUCUCUGGUCUUUCCAUGGAAUUGGAUAAUAAAAUAGGCUAGACAGUGCAACAGCAAUUGACCUGCAAACUUUCACGUACUUCACCUCUGAGCACACCCCAUUGGCUGAACCAAGCCGUCUUUGAAAUGACUAAAUUCAAAGUGGGUUGAAAUAUUCACAUUCUACAAGCUUCAAGGAAGAGAAGAACCGGACUAUUCAUUAAUCACCAGGAUACUUAACUCCCCAAACCAAAACCAAUCAACCAACCAACCCCGGAAAAACUGCUGAAGUUUGGACAUGGAGCUAUUCCUCCAAAUCUCAAGUGCAAAGUGGCCCAUGAUACAACGUUCAGAGGUGGGAAAGGGCAGGACAGGUUUCCAAGGGCUCUGGACUCAUUCGAGGACAGCUCUGUUGAUGGAUGACUGAACACUCUCUUUCUUAAAGGGGAUAGAAACAGGGAGAUGAAUCUUGAAUGGAAAAAUGGGUCAAGAGAGUCAUGCCUUUGAAAGGCAGAGCUGCCCUGGCUUCUUCUCUCAAACUUGAGCUGCCUCCAGUCCUCUGUGAGGGAUGCCACUCUGUUACCACACGCUCCCAGUCCUGAUGUUCUGUCUAACUACACAUGGACCCAGAAGCACUGGGACCAACUGGUGAUGGGCAAAGACCAAUGAAACCUCCUUCUCUCAAAGGUCACCAAAUUCUUACCUCUACCCUUACUCACAAGGGGGCACUGGUAAGUUUUAGGGGAGUCUUAAAGAUGAUUAAGCAUUUGUGUCUGUGGGUACAACCUGGAAUCCUGACUCCUUGGGAGGUAAAAAUAGGGGAACCCAAGUUUAAGUCCAACCUAGUAGCUUAGGAAGACUCUGUCUUUAAACACUGAACCAAAGAAAACAUGGCUGGGGUUAUGACUCAUUCAUUGGUAAGAGUGCUUGUCUACAAUGGGUAAAGAUCUGGAUUCAAUUACCAGUGUGCAUAUGCACCAAUGUGUGUACGUGGGUGCACGCACACACACACACACACACACACACACAAACACACACUCAUACACUUAAACACACAUUCAU
rnacentral:sRNA from 1 species